rnacentral:misc_RNA from 1 species
CAACCCUCAAGCCCAGCUUGGUGUUGGGAGCUGCGAGCUUUCUGCUCGCAGUCCCGAAAUUGAUUGGCGGUCACGUCGAGCUUCCAUAGCGUAGUAAUUUACACAUCGUUACUGGUAAUCGUCGCGGCCACGCCGUUAAACCCCAACUUCUGAA